CCCUGCUGCUUCAGAACUGUUAAGUAACUAUUUUCCUACAAUUUAUCUCAGGCAAGACCUCGAAUAUUUUCCUAACUGCUACCAACUCAGGCACUGCAUAGGACGAUGAUACAGAGGAUCGGCAACAGGAUCCUAACCUUCUUCUGCAAGCACUGUCUACCUCCUUAGAAGAUGGGCUGUGCCACAUGCAGACGAAUGAGCACCGGAGUAACCUGGUCUGGCUAGUUGAAACCAGUCCAGCUGUGGCCUAAGGUUACAUCCAGAUGGACUAAUGCAAGUGAGAAGAGAUACGCAGAGGACAGUGAUGCUGUAACUUGUUUGAUUACGAUCCUUCUUCAUGGUUGCACUGAAUCUCAUCUUGUGAUCUGCCGACUUCAGAGAGGUGAUGAUUCAGUGAAAUGAAGGUCCAAACAAAAACUUCAGAGAUAAAUCAGUAGUACCCCAGGAGGAGACUUCAUCUCUUGCUUGUCACCAAGGACCUUUGCUGCCGGGCUGCUGCAUCCUGACUCUCUGUGCUUCCUCUCCUCCUAAUCUGUCAGUCUUGACUUGAAAGAUUGCCUGGCUUUGGCAAGACAGAAUGGCUACAGGAAACACAGUGCACUAAUUGGUCUAUCACAGCCUCAUCUAUAUCAGUUUGUAUUUGCUCUACUGUCUGCUGACUGUUUGGAUACAUCUCACAAAAUGCUACAAGAUGUUCUGCUCUCUAAGAAGCGUACACUGUGCUUGGAUUCAAACAAUUUGAUUUUCUUGAGACAAGAAAAAACACUAAGUGUCACAAGUAACUGCAACAGCACUGCAGAAUACGUCUAACCUUAGAGUAACUAGAAGGCUGCAUUCUCCAAUGAACAAAAAAUCCACCUAAAUAAAGGAAAAACCCUGAGAUUCAUGGUUGAUGUUCCUGUGGCUAGUCCUGUUUUUCCACCCAUCUUUCCAUCUGCCUGAGGCUGGCCUCUCCAUUGCACUCACUCACUGGUUUAUGUGGAAGAGUUCCUUGAAAAGACCUGGUUUAAGGAAAUAGAAAAAGACACAUUGCCACUUUUUGCAAAGAAAAAUCAAAAGGUCCUUGAGGUUCUACAGACACAUCCAGUUCAGCUGUUUCUACCUGUUGGAGUGAGUUCAGAGGAAACCACAAGGAUACUCGGAGUGUUGCAGCACCUCUCCUAACAAGACAGACUAAAGAAAGCUGGACUGGUUCAGUAUAGAGAAGAGAAGGCUCCAGGGAGAUCUCAUACUGGCCUUUCAGUACCUAAAGGGGGCCCACAGGAAAUAUGGGGAAGGACUUUUCGAUGGGGGAGUAUAGUGAUAGGGCAAGAGAUAAUGUCUUUAAACUAAGAUAGGAAGGUUUAGAUUAGAUUUAAGGAAGAAAUUGUUCACUGUGUGUGUGGUGAGGCCCUGGCAUAGGCUGCCCAGAGAGAUGCCCCAUCCCUGGAGGUGUUCAAGGCCAGGCUGGUGAGGCUCUGAGCAAUCUGAUCAAAUGGGUGAUGUCCCUGCCCAUAGCAGGGGGUUUGCAACAAUAUAAUCUUUAACAAUGACAAUACAACCUUCCAACCUCUACCUUGCAUAUUCUAUAAUGAUUCUAUGAUACGGUUGUGGGUAUUAUGAAUUUCAGCACAGUGGACAUGAAGGAAACAGAUGUUAGCUGAUGUAACGAGUUCACAUAGGAGAUAUAAAACGUAAUAAAUUUAUAAGACAAUAGCUAGCCAUCAAGAAUUCUGUGUGGACCCUUAGUUAGCUUUAAGAUUAUUUGAAGUAGCUUAGCCUACUUCAGAAAUGGAGCAAAUUAUUCUACAAGAAGCAUGUUAUACCAGUAACUACAUAGGGAGCUAUUCUAGAUCAGCACAAUAAAUAAAUAAAUAAAUAAAUAAAUAACUUUGCAUGCAGGAAACAAAACUUGAAAAAAAAGACAAUAAUAAAUCCCACUAGAGCCUACAUACCUGUGACCAAAAAAUAAAAAUAAAAAUAAAAAUAAAAAAAUAAAAAAAAUCCCCACCAAAAAACAAUACAAAACAACAAAUGAGAUCCAGAAGGCAAAAAGUAAAUGAAUAUAAUCCAGCAUCAAGUCAUAUGAGGUUACUUUAUCUAAAUGUAUCUCCAGUGAACAUAAUUGGAAGCAGCAUAAAUCUCUGCAGGCUAUUAUAAAUUAAGAUGGCUGAAAUGAUUUUAAAUAGCCAAAGGUAUAAAACAGACUGAAGACUCUAUUUCUUGAUGAAACUCAAUAUUUUGGAAAGGAAUCAGUGAAUCAGCUGGGAUACCAAGAUUUUAAAGUUGUAGACAGACAAGAAUUCAGGGCUUGCCUUUUUCAAAGGAUGAAUUCUAGUUCAGGGAUAUUUGGACUGAAAAUCAUAUUUUAUAUUCACAGAAAUUUCACUGACACUUACUAUUAUCCUACUUUAUGUGAAAGUUUUUUGUUGCAUUCAGAAUUGGGGGGAGAUCACGGUUGUGGGCAGGAUCUCCCAUAGAACUCUUUCCAACCACAGCUGGUUUUUAUUGCCAAUGGAAAGAGGACAUCAGACACAAUGAAUUUUGGCACAGGUGAAGGUUAAUAAAUCUCUUGGUGAGAGACAGCUAAUGCGUCACAAAAAAUACUAAGGAAAAAUUUAGAUAUCAAUAAGCUACCUGAUCUAAAAGGUGUACUUCGUAGUCAAAGAUUCAUACAUAAGCAUGAAAUUAAUGAUUAAUAGAGCAUAAAAUAACAUCUAUAUUGAAAAAAUACAGAGUACUCUGGAAAAAAAAUAAUCAAAGUUAUGAAAUACUGUAUAUUUAGGAUUGGAUUUUUAUUUUUUUACUUUUAUUUUUAAUAAAAAUGAUAAAUGGAACAGAACUGAAUGAUAAAUUAAAUCAAAAGAAAGCUUGAUAUAGGAAAGAAGCUUAGUAAACGUGGCAGCAGAUACAUUUGCCUCAAAGAGACAAUACUGCUACUUUACAUGGCAUUUGCUAUCUAAAGUCUCCUCAAGUCAUCUGUCCAAGCAAGAAUAACAAAUACAUGUUUUGCCCUUUUUGGAUUACAUCAGUAUGAUGCAGCUGCUGCCUCAGAUGGAGAAAGAAUAAUUCUCCUCAAGUAAGAAAUAAUUAAGUAAGGGUGAAUGCCAAAAGUCGGAUAGCUUUUAAAUUGAAAGCUCUAAACACUGCAGACAGCCCUGGAUAUGAGAUUAUUUUUACUAUUUGAAGUACUAGUAAGAGCCUUUUUCUGUAUUCUGUAUAAGAACCUUGCUAAAAUACAAGGUAAUGAUACAUAUGCUCUGAAUAUUUUUAAUUAACAUUUUAAUAAAACUAGCAGAAACAAUGCAGGAUUAAAGCAGAAAAAAAAUCAUAAACUAAACUUUACGUUGCAAAAUUGUGUGGCUGUCAUACUAUGGGAUUUGGGUUUUAUUGCCUUAGUGAUAUAUAUUUCUCAUAAGUAAUGCUAUUUUCUUAAAAAAAAAAAAAAAAAAAAAAAAGUAGUUAGGUUUGAGUGAUCUAAAGGUUAUCUCACUGCUGAACAGAGUUAUCAGUGAGAAAUAAAUAUCCAGAACAGAAAAACAGCUAAAUCCCCUAAUCACUUAAGUAAAGGAAUUAGUAAAGGAAUUUCCUCGCUAUCAAUCUGAAGAACUGGUGCUAUCAUCAGAACUUAUAUGUUUUCCUUUUCAAAUUGCAAAUUUUCACAAACACUUUGAAACACUGGCAAUUAACGAACUCCACAUGGUCAGUGAUUGUGGCCAUAAGCGUUUGUAAGUAGCCAAUUUUCAUAAAGAAAACGCGAAAUGAAUGGUGUAAUGAAUUAGGUAUGAAUAAUGGCUCACUUUUUUACUUAUGCUGGCAUCAAUAUUAUUCAUGUAUAUGGGAAAACUGAACCCUUAUUCUCUUCACCUGGAAAUAUGCUCAAGUAAUAGACUUGUAUUAAAAUGUUCAGUUCUUAUUAUAAAUCAGUCAGACACAAACAUGCCUAAUGAUGUCAAAAGCAUUUAUUUUUCCUCUUUACAAAUUUUCUUCAGACAGCACUUCUUUUUAUUAUUAUUUUUAAAUUGUAAUGAAUCUGAUAUCUAGAAUUGAAAUGUAUUCCCCAAAUAUGCUGAAAUUAUACAUGACUUAGUUGCUCUUUAUAAUGAACAUUCAGUUGAUUUCUCUUAUGUUCAACAUCUGUUAUUGUUCCAGCUUUUGUAAUUCUGGUGUCCUAUAGUUAAAAGAUUGAUUGUCCCAUAUGGAAGGCAUGCACAUAAAAAUAAACGAAUGUUGAAAUAAUUAAUAACAAUCAAAAAGGUUUUAUGUAACUUUUAUUUAACUCCUCCAAAGAAAGAAGAAAUAAAUAUUUUAGCUGACAAAAAAUACUUCAGUAAGUAUAAUAGACUUCGGCA
ensembl:lncRNA